rnacentral:rRNA from 1 species
UACAGAGGGGGCAAGCGUUGUUCGGAAUUACUGGGCGUAAAGGGCGCGUAGGCGGCCUGUUAAGUCGAACGUGAAAUCCCCGGGCUCAACCCGGGAACUGCGUCCGAUACUGGCAGGCUUGAAUCCGGGAGAGGGAUGUGGAAUUCCAGGUGUAGCGGUGGAAAUGCGUAGAUAUCUGGAGGAACACCGGUGGCGAAGGCGGCAUCCUGGACCGGUAUUGACGCUGAGGAGCGAAAGCUAGGGGAGCAAACGGG